AAAAAAAAAAGAGAAAAUAUUUACUAUUCUGAGAAGCUCGGGCCUGCCCUCGUAACAUUGUUCAUUUAGGCUCCGUAAGAACAAGAACGAGGUCUAUGGAGUCUACGACGUCGGUUCAAUUCAGAGACAUUCAAGCGACACUGUUCUUCCGUGUGGUGAUGAAUUAUUCUUCUAUAUUGUUGUUUUUUUUUUUGGGAAAAAAAAAAAGAACUUUCUGCAUAUUUCCUCCCUAGGAUCGCAGUGGAGACUCGGGCGAACAAUCGUCCAGGGUUUACUCACAAAUUUCAAAAUCCCCUUGAAACCCUAGGUUUUACGUAAAAAUGGGAGGCAAAUGUCCGAGCAGGAAAGCGAAGAAGAGAAAUUAUUCUCAUAAGACUGCUUGCAGCUUCAGAUUCCUCAUCAAAGAUUUUAAUGAAAUUAUAUUAAUUGAAUCCUUUCUCUCUCUUCGUGAUUAAUCCAAAUUUUCCUCAAUUUCCUGCUCUUGUUUUCACAAUGUUGCUAAGGAGAAAGCCUUUUGCAUUUCUAUGUGUGUCUGAAACUGUGAUGACUUGACUGGUAUUGCUUUGCUCACGAGGCGAUGCUGUUUGUGAGGAGCUGCAAAAGCCUGAGAUGGAGAAGACUUUAUCCCUAAAUGAGGAUUUGCCUGGCAUGGGCCAAUAUUAUUGUUUGCAUUGCGAGUGAGUUAAUUUGAAUUGAUGCUUUAACUAUUUACUUAAAAAUUCAUCCGAGGAGAAGAGGUUUUUGUUAGGCUGCUUUAUUUCAAGUAGAAUUCAUUUUUCAAAUUUUACUUGGCUGCUUCUGUUGGGUUGUUGUUGCAUAAUUGGUUAAUUUAGUCUUUCGUUGUAGCCGAUACUUUGCAAUGUCUGUCACAGUGAGGGACGAGCAUUUGAAGAUCAAACGUCACAAGAAGCCUUAAGCUGCUUUUUAUUCAUCUAGUUCCUGUUCUGUGUAGGAAUAUUUGGUGUGAAGCAAAUGAUGGGACCUGCACCACACGCAACUUGAUGCUGAAUUAUCUGCUGGGAUGGGUAUGCCAGAUAAUGUCCAUGUGAGCUUUCUAUCUUUUUUUUCUUAGUAUAUAUUUUCAGGUGAUACCAACUCGAAACUGGCCUGGUUGAAGGAUACUUGAUGAUGUGUAUUUUCUUCAUGUUCAAUCCAUUCACUUGCGAAGAUAUUGGAGUUUGUGGCUAUGAAUUUUCCCCCCCUUCUGUCAACUGUGUAUCAUAAACUCUUGUAAACAUACUGCCAAAAAUGUAAUCGAUAUCCUAACAUCCAUUUUGGAAUGAAUGCAUCUUUCUCUGCCA